CUGAUCAGCCAUGCCGCGUGUGUGAGAAGGCCUUAUGGUUGUAAAGCACUUUAAGUGGGGAGGAAAAGCUUAUGGAUAAUACCCAUAGGUUCUGACGUUACCCACAGAAUAAGCACCGGCUAACUCUGUGCCAGCAGCCGCGGUAAUACAGAGGGUGCGAGCGUUAAUCGGAAUUACUGGGCGUAAAGCGAGCGUAGGUGGUUUAUUAAGUCAGAUGUGAAAUCCCUGGGCUUAACCUAGGAACUGCAUCUGAUACUGAUAAACUAGAGUAGGUGAGAGGAAAGUAGAAUUCCAGGUGUAGCGGUGAAAUGCGUAGAUAUCUGGAGGAAUACCGAUGGCGAAGGCAGCUUUCUGGCAUCAUACUGACACUGAGGUUCGAAAGCGUGGGUAGCAAACA
rnacentral:rRNA from 1 species